UACUACAACGGUUACGGCAAAUUCCAUCAGUUUGCUUUCGGGUUUUUUUAUAUUCUUUUUUCUUCUUUUUUUCCGAUCUUUCACCGCUUCUUCUCCACUCUACGUUUCUUCUUCUUCUUUAUACCUGUUCUAAUUAUUAUUCUCCCGAUCUUCAGGAUUGAGAGUUUUCACCGAGCCAUAGAUGGCAGGUAAGGGUAAAAUUGAAGAUUGGCUGAAUUCUUUUGGGGAAAGGAAUCACCUUUGGUUAAGAAAUGCAGGAAUACCAAUAUUCCACUAGAACAAUCAGUGAGACAUUCAAGUCUCAAAGUAUCUGACAAUGGUAUUAAAAAGAGCCUGAUGAAAAAUCUAGGUCUGUUUGUAUAGCAACUGGAACUGUUCCAGCCGUAAUGGUUCAAUUGUUGGAGAAAGAACAUGCAACUCAUAAAUUACCUACUCAUAAAUACCUACUUUGUUGUGUAGCUUCAUUAAAAGUGUAUGGUUUACAAUGCGUCAAGAGCCGCGCAAGUACAUUACAAAAUAGGAGGAGAGACGAUGACGAGUAUGAUCGAGAUUCUUAUGUAGCGGGCAAGCCAGGAAUUCAACAUAUGCAGCAUCUAUGAAAAUGAUGAUUGUGAACAGGUACCUCAUCUCCAAUUGUAUUGAAUUUGUCAUUCUUUGUGCUGGUUUCGGUGCAUGUAUGCUAUCUUGGAUAUACGGUGAGUUAAUCUCAGAAAAUUAUGCUCAAGAGUGUGUAGUUAUAAUUGUGUAUUUUUAGUGGUUGCUCUAUCUGACUAAUUAUAGUUAGGUGGUAGAUUGUUUUACAACUAAAGGCAUAUAUAUCUGUGGGCAAAGAUAGAAAAACUAAUGCAAUAUUAGGAUUCAAACUUAGAAAAACACAUUUGUUAUUCUUGCCAAGGACAUGCUCUCUUUUGUUAUUUUUAAUGAGUACGAAUUGCUUCUGUUCAUUUUAUGAUAUUCUGUUGAUCUUUAAAACAACUGCGAGAUGGAGUUGUGAUCUUACUACCGAGGCUCGGUGAUAAUCCACUUACCGUAAAAGCUAUGCAAACCAUUGUGGCUGACAUCACCACCGCCAGUAUAGGGAAUUUGCUGCCCUUGGUAUACCGUGUACCUACGCCAAGCUCAUUUGAGAUCCUCACACUGGUUGCAAUACUUAAAGCUAAGAAUAUCAUGAACUCCUAGAACAGUGAGCAAUGUGAAAACAUACCAAGAACCAACACUUUCACAUAGAUUGUUGUAGUUACUGCAUAAAUGAAUAACCUGCCACAUAGAUAUCGUAGCUACUGCAUGCAAUGCACGAAUUCCGUGUCGUUGCUGUACCGGUUGCAGUACCCAUUGUUAAGACAAAACAAUUACAUGUAAUGUACCCAUAUAACAUUUUGUUUUUAUAAUUGAGUUUCUUAAAGUUUGUUUCUUAUAUAAGUUUCUUUCUU